CUUUGAUUCUUGAUUUAACCUAUAAAAAUUCUUAGCCUCUUUUAGAAUUAAAGAAUAUUUUAAAUAUUUCAUGCCAUCAACUUUGAAUCAAAUUCAAUGUAUCUGUUCUUUCAGGAAACCUCAAACCGUGUACACAGCAUACGUAUAAUUUUUUUUUUUUUUUUUAACAGAAGCUCUAUUUUAUUUUGUCUUUUGUCUUUGUCUUUUUAGGGCCACAUCCCCAGCAUAUGGAGGUUCCCAGGCUAGGGGUAGAAUUGGAGCUGUAGCUGCUGGCCUAUGCCACAGCAAUGUGGUAUCCGAGCCGUGUCUGUGACCUAUACCACAGCUCACAGCAACACUGGAUCCUUAACCCACUGAGCAAAGCCAGGAAUUGAACCCUUGUCUCAUGGAAACUAGUCAGGUUGUUAACACCUGAGCCAUAACAGGAACUCCUGGAGCAGAGCACGUGCAUAAUUCUUAAAUCUCCAGUACCUAUCAUAACACCAGACUUGCAAUAUGCAGUACUUUAUCUCUACAAAGUAUAAGUACAUGCACUUAAAUAUCUUGAAAUUAUAUUAGCAUUUAUUUUUCAUAAUUGUUAUCAAGCCAUUUCUGUAUACAUUUUUCUCUCAUUCAUUUAUUUACUUAGUCUUUUUAGGGCCACACUUGCAGCAUAUGGAGGUUCCCAGGCUAGGGGUCAAAACAGAGCUAUAGCUGCUGGCCUACACCAGUUACAACAAUAUGGGAUCUGAGCUGAGUCUGCAGCAUGCACCACAGCUCAUGGCAAUGCUGGAUCCUUAACCCACUGAGCAAAGCCAGGCAUCAAACCUGCAUCCUCUUGGAUACUAGUCAGAUUCAUUUCUGCUGAGCCACGGUGGGAACUCCUCUCUCACAUGUAUUUAAAUUUUGAUAGCUGCAGAGUGCAGAGAGGAGAAAUAAAGGAAUUUUAAUUAUCCUAAAAAUUGAGAAUGUUCUGCAAUAGAAACUGUUUAAGGAAAGCUUUGAAUACAGUGAUAUUUUUUUUGAAAUUGGUGAUUGGUAGGGGUAAGUAUGCCCAAAACAAAUGGUUUCUAAAAUGUCCUAUACAAGGUGUAUUUCUGGUGUACAAAUAUCAAGGGAUUUUGAGAAAAUUAAUUUAUGAGAAGUAUGUAUAAUUAAAAAAAUUUCUGUCUUUUGAUUUUUCUUCUCUGAAUCAAAAAACAAAUAUUGAAAAAUCAGAACCUUCUAAAUAAAUAGUAGGGAACCUUUCCUCCAGGGAUAGCUUCAAUAGAAUAACAAUGCUAUGUAAAUAUAGUCUCUUGUUUCUUUUUUGAAAUACAUGAUAAAGACUGCCUUAGAUAAAUAUUUCAAAAUACUGAUAAGGUGCAUAAUGCUAUAGCACUAAUAAAGCCUCAGGCAUUCCAAGGUUGUUAUUACAUAUGACAUACACACAUGUAUAUACAUACAAUCACCCACAUCAAGUAGGAGCUCUAGUUAAAUUUUAUCGUAGUUAAUAAUGUUUGCAUAAAGCCAUUACAAUUUGAGGGUUAUUCUAAAGAGGGUGGUUUAAAAUACUUAUACAUAUUAUAAUUGAUUCCAGAAACUGACGAAACAAGCACAAAAUCAUGGUCAAGUAAACAUAAUUACUUUCCAGGAAUUAUCCUAUUAGACAUAUGAUUUCACAGUAACACCUGUCAAGCUACAUUUUUAGAUUUGCAUAAGAUUUUGAUGUUUAUGUUCCUAAAAUUUAUCUUUACAUAGUCACAUUGUGAUACAUUAUAAAAGAGAAAUAGUAUAUAAUUAAAGAUGAUGUAUUUCUUCUGCUUUUUGGCUGUGCCCACAGCAUGUAGACAGUCCCAAGGGAGGGAUCAAAGCUUCACCACACCACAGUGACUUGAGCCACAGCAGUGAUAAUGCUGGAUCCUUAACCUGCUGAGCCACCAGGGAACUCUUUUUUUUUUUUUUCUUUUUGAGAUGAAAUAUUUUUUAAUCUACGCUCACAAGGUGUUCUUUAUGUUCAAUUGAAGAUGCCUUUGGACCCCCAAUACAGAUUUGUGUAGAUUUGAUUUUAGUGACCAGAGGUUCUAAGAAUAGCCUUUCUAAGGAAUCUUCACUCUAGAUUCCUAAAAUAGAGGCCUGGAAGCAAGUCACAGUUUUGCUACACAAAUGGGUAAUGUUAUGCUACAGGGCAAUGGUGGCUUUGUUUUUUCAUAAGCAUUGUGAUGAAUGUGGGAAAUGGUGCAUUAUGAAAAGAAAAGACUAAUUCUAAUGUGUGAUAUUCAUUAGAUAUAUGUUACUACUUACCUUCCUUUCUUAAACAUAUCCUCAGCCAAGUUGGUAAUUGUUUAUAACAGAAGUGAAAAGGGUCUUAUGGACCUUUUAUCUCUUGGGAUCAGAUACCUAAUUAUUUUAAUAUGUUUUCACCUCUUAGAUAUCUACAAAGAUGGUAAAAAUGGUACAUUUAAUAUACGGGAAACAGUAUGGAGGUUCCUCAGAAAACUAAAAAAAGAACUACCUUAUAAUCCACCAAUCCUAGAUAUCUGCAUAAAUAUAUCAGAUAGAUAUCUGCAUAAAACCAUAAUUCAAAAACAAUGAAGCACAAUGUUUGUUGCAGCGCUAUUUACAAUAGCCAAGGCAUAGAAGCAAUCUAGAGGUCCAUCAAUAGAGGAGUGGAUAAAAAAGAAGUAUAUAUACACAAUGGAAUAUUAUUCAGCCAUAAAAAAUCACGAAUAAUGCCAUUUACAGCAAUAUGGAUGGACCUAGAUAUUAUCACACUGAGUGAAGUUAGACAAAGACAUAUAUGAUAUUGCUUGUAUGUGGAAUGUAAUAAAAAUACAAAAGAACUUAUUUAUAAACAGAAAUAAACCCACAAGUUUCAAAACCAAUCUUAUGGUUACCACAGAUGAAUCUGUUGGGGGGAGGGAGGAAUUGGGUGGAAAUAACACAUACAUACUACUGUAUAAAACAGAUGAUUAAUAAGAACUUACUGCAUAGCGCAGAAAAAUCAAUAGUUUGUGAUAACCUAUAUGGGAAAAAAGAAUGGAUACACUUAUAUGUAUAACUGUUCCACUUUGCUGUAUGCCUGAAUCUAAUACAACAUUGUAAGUCAACUAUACUCCAAUUUUUUUAAAAAAAUAAUUUCAAAAUAUUGAUUUUUCAGAAUGAUGAAAUAUCACCCUUGAAGGUCAAAAAACAAAAUGAAAUGCUUUGGAACCUAGGCUAGCUGCCUCAAAUUUACUCUGUAAAAUACAUGAUGCUUGGGAGCUGUGGGGGACAGGAUACUUAUGUCUGAGUGUGUAUGUGCAUGCGCACAUAAUAGGAAAUAUAUAGUGACUAUAGUAAAAUGUAAAUUCCUGUCUGCCACCUGCAGCAUUGCAUUAAUAAGCACUAUUGAGCUCAAUGCACACAUGAAACUAACUUGAAGGACAUUAAAUAUUCUGUAUAUUAUUAUUAAGCCCUGAAAAUAUGUAGUGUCCUAAGAUGGGUAAAAGACCACAGAUUUUUUAAUCCCCCUUUCAUUGAGAGGUAUAGUCUUAUUCCGCCUGCAUCUGAGGGGAUGCUUUGGUGAAGAGAGGUGACACUGCUUAAGCUCUAAAACAUGUAGCAAGUACCAUCUCAGCCUCUUGGAACUCUGAGUCACCAUGGAUGAUGUCCAACUACUUGGCUGGGGAGACCAUUUGGAGAGGCCCUAAAAGUACAUUACAGAGGGGUCAAGAUGAGCUCAGCUUUCAGCCUUUCCUUCCCUCCCAUGGUGCCAGACAUAUGAGUGAAACCAUCUCAGACCAUCCAGAUCAGGCUAGGUUCCAGCGAAAUACUAUAAACGAGGAGCUGAUGUCACAUGGAACAGAAGAAUCACCCCUGUGCCUCUGCCCAUAUUUAUGCCUCACAAAACAGUGAGACAUAUUAAAGUGGUGGUUAUUUAAAGCCUUGUGUGUUCAGUGGUCUGUUGCUUAUCAGCAGAUCAAAAGAUCAUGCUCUAUGGGCACAAGAAAAAAAAAACCUGCUUAAUCUUCUGACUAUGUACAUGGCUACUGUAUAUUUUCCAGGUAGUUAAUAACAUUUCAUAUCUAUAUGCUGUCACUAUGACUUGGACUGGGUAUGACUUGAAGAAAGAGGAGAGAGCACUGAAUGGUUGUUCCCAUCCAAAACCCUGAUAUAUUUCCUUUUCCCUUCCUUUGUUUGUCAUUUUGAAAGAGGAGCAGGGCUAAGACAGGAGUGCAUGAUAUAAAUAAGAAGUCUGUCUUAAAGGAAAGGGCCGAAUACUGCCAAGUACCAGCAGCUCUGCACUGAAGGAGAGAUACUUCUUGGUCUAGGGUCAAAGCUGUGAUAGAGUGAAUGCAUGGCUGCUUAUAACUCUCCAAAGGAGUUACUGGAGAAGCCGUGGGCCAUGCAGGCAGCUCUCCAUAAGUCUGAGCUCAUAUUUUUUGUUUUAGCAGCUCUGUGUUGUGACACAGUUUCAAAUCGUGCUUCAAUUUUCCUUUGAAGCAUUUUUCUUUUCUUUUUUUCCCCCCAGUCUCAUUCUUUUAAAGGCCUUCCCUCAGCUUUUAAAAAGAUGAAAGCAUGCAUGAAAGUCAAUUAUUUUCAAAAGAGUAAGAUAGAAAAACAAUAAUUGGAACUGAGAAGUUGGGUGAGAAGUAUCUUUAUGACUUACUUAAAACAGGUCAAAACAUUCGAGGCUUUCUUGACUUCAGCUGCUCAAAAUGAGUUUAAUAACAUGUAGUCUCCUAGUCUGCAUACAUAUAGAAUUCUGUUAUGUGGUUGCAUUGCACUGGGAAAACAUCAUCAAAAUAAGACACUGCCUGUGGACAUUCACAUCAUUCUCUGUCUGAUUAUGCUGGUUAAUUACACAUAACUAUAAAGGACUUUUUCCCUGAAAAGUGUGACUAAACAUGGCAGUAUUUCAAAAAUAUCUUCUUUUUUGACCAAAUAAUUUGAAAAUAAAGGGAAAGACUAGUUGGCUUAUUUGAUAAUCAUAAAAAUGGAAAUGUAAUGAUUAAGAAAAAUGGAACCAUAAAAUUCAGAAUUUAAGGUGUCACCAGACAUUGCUUUGCCCAAUUUUCAUAAAACAUUUUAAGUACCUGAAAUGUUACAAAAAGAUACCCAAAAUUUCAGCCUCACAAGGAAAAGCCAGUAGUCAAUCUAUUGCCAAACUCUUACAUGAUUGUCUGCUACCUGUUGGUUUGAUGAAAUAGAUAGCAAAAACAAAGAAAAAUUGACUACAACUUGAAGUAUCCAAGAAAACUCAGUGGGAGAUACAAAGUUAUAACACUAAAAACUCUUCUAAACCAUAGCAGGGAUAAGACCCU
rnacentral:lncRNA from 1 species